GAUGAACGCUGGCGGCGUGCCUAAUACAUGCAAGUCGAGCGAACAGACGAGGAGCUUGCUCCUCUGACGUUAGCGGCGGACGGGUGAGUAACACGUGGAUAACCUACCUAUAAGACUGGGAUAACUUCGGGAAACCGGAGCUAAUACCGGAUAAUAUAUUGAACCGCAUGGUUCAAUAGUGAAAGACGGUUUUGCUGUCACUUAUAGAUGGAUCCGCGCCGCAUUAGCUAGUUGGUAAGGUACCGGCUUACCAAGGCAACGAUGCGUAGCCGACCUGGGAGGUGGGCAGCCAGCCUGGGAGGGGGACCGGCCACAAGACGCCUGGGGGAGGCGCCAGAGGGGAAUGUGCGGCAGCGGGGGAAAACCUUCCGGAACGGGCCGAAGGGAGAGAUAAAGUUCUCGGGUUCGAAAAACCUUUUUAUGGGGGAAAAACAAAUUUCGACUUAGAUGAACAGGUCUUGACGGUACCGAAUAAAAAAGCCACGGCUAACUACGUG
rnacentral:rRNA from 1 species